GCCUCUGUGGUGUAGUGGUUAGAGCACGCGUCCCCCGGAUAGGACGAAAACGUGGGUUCAAUCACCGGCUGAGGCC